CGGAGGAAUUUUGGGAUGAUCCCGCAGGAAGCAGCGGAAAGCGGCGGCCGCCGGAGGCGACGUCUCGGAUCAGCUCCGGGGCCUCUCCCUGCGGGAAGAGGGGGAUCCCCAGGAUUCCCAGGAUUCCCAGGAUUCCCACCUGGCCCAGCUGGAGGAGCUGUUCCAGUUCAGCUCCACGGGGCUGGGGCCGGCGGAGCGGGAGCGGUUCCGGGAGCAGCUCCGGAAGAUUCCCAGCGGUGUCACCGUGUGCCAGCUGUCCCUGGCCGGUGCCGGCCCCGCGGCCGCGCUGCUGCUGACGCGGCUGGAGCGCGGCGCCGAGCCCCUGAGCGUCCGGAUCCCCACCCAGCGCGGCCAGGCGCCCCUGGCUGAGCUGCUCCGGGAGCUGGAGGGGAUCCAGCGGGAGCAGCGCGAGGCCAACGGCUGCAGCGAGCGCCGGGAAUGGUGGGAGCGCCGAUCCCGCCUGGAUCUGCGC